GAAUAUAGCUCAGUGGCACAGUGCCUGCCUGGCAAGCACAAGGUCCUGAGUUCAAUUCUCUGUAUUC
rnacentral:tRNA from 1 species